UUAAGCGACUAAGCGUACACGGUGGAUGCCCUGGCAGUCAGAGGCGAUGAAGGACGUGCUAAUCUGCGAUAAGCGUCGGUAAGGUGAUAUGAACCGUUAUAACCGGCGAUUUCCGAAUGGGGAAACCCAGUGUGAUUCGUCACACUAUCAUUAACUGAAUCCAUAGGUUAAUGAGGCGAACCGGGGGAACUGAAACAUCUAAGUACCCCGAGGAAAAGAAAUCAACCGAGAUUCCCCCAGUAGCGGCGAGCGAACGGGGAGCAGCCCAGAGCCUGAAUCAGUGUGUGUGUUAGUGGAAGCGUCUGGAAAGGCGUGCGAUACAGGGUGACAGCCCCGUACACAAAAAUGCACAUGCUGUGAGCUCGAUGAGUAGGGCGGGACACGUGGUAUCCUGUCUGAAUAUGGGGGGACCAUCCUCCAAGGCUAAAUACUCCUGACUGACCGAUAGUGAACCAGUACCGUGAGGGAAAGGCGAAAAGAACCCCGGCGAGGGGAGUGAAAAAGAACCUGAAACCGUGUACGUACAAGCAGUGGGAGCACAGAGCAAUCUGUGUGACUGCGUACCUUUUGUAUAAUGGGUCAGCGACUUAUAUUCUGUAGCAAGGUUAACCGAAUAGGGGAGCCGAAGGGAAACCGAGUCUUAACUGGGCGUUAAGUUGCAGGGUAUAGACCCGAAACCCGGUGAUCUAGCCAUGGGCAGGUUGAAGGUUGGGUAACACUAACUGGAGGACCGAACCGACUAAUGUUGAAAAAUUAGCGGAUGACUUGUGGCUGGGGGUGAAAGGCCAAUCAAACCGGGAGAUAGCUGGUUCUCCCCGAAAGCUAUUUAGGUAGCGCCUCGUGAAUUCAUCUCCGGGGGUAGAGCACUGUUUCGGCAAGGGGGUCAUCCCGACUUACCAACCCGAUGCAAACUGCGAAUACCGGAGAAUGUUAUCACGGGAGACACACGGCGGGUGCUAACGUCCGUCGUGAAGAGGGAAACAACCCAGACCGCCAGCUAAGGUCCCAAAGUCAUGGUUAAGUGGGAAACGAUGUGGGAAGGCCCAGACAGCCAGGAUGUUGGCUUAGAAGCAGCCAUCAUUUAAAGAAAGCGUAAUAGCUCACUGGUCGAGUCGGCCUGCGCGGAAGAUGUAACGGGGCUAAACCAUGCACCGAAGCUGCGGCAGCGACGCUUAUGCGUUGUUGGGUAGGGGAGCGUUCUGUAAGCCUGCGAAGGUGUGCUGUGAGGCAUGCUGGAGGUAUCAGAAGUGCGAAUGCUGACAUAAGUAACGAUAAAGCGGGUGAAAAGCCCGCUCGCCGGAAGACCAAGGGUUCCUGUCCAACGUUAAUCGGGGCAGGGUGAGUCGACCCCUAAGGCGAGGCCGAAAGGCGUAGUCGAUGGGAAACAGGUUAAUAUUCCUGUACUUGGUGUUACUGCGAAGGGGGGACGGAGAAGGCUAUGUUGGCCGGGCGACGGUUGUCCCGGUUUAAGCGUGUAGGCUGGUUUUCCAGGCAAAUCCGGAAAAUCAAGGCUGAGGCGUGAUGACGAGGCACUACGGUGCUGAAGCAACAAAUGCCCUGCUUCCAGGAAAAGCCUCUAAGCAUCAGGUAACAUCAAAUCGUACCCCAAACCGACACAGGUGGUCAGGUAGAGAAUACCAAGGCGCUUGAGAGAACUCGGGUGAAGGAACUAGGCAAAAUGGUGCCGUAACUUCGGGAGAAGGCACGCUGAUAUGUAGGUGAAGUCCCUCGCGGAUGGAGCUGAAAUCAGUCGAAGAUACCAGCUGGCUGCAACUGUUUAUUAAAAACACAGCACUGUGCAAACACGAAAGUGGACGUAUACGGUGUGACGCCUGCCCGGUGCCGGAAGGUUAAUUGAUGGGGUUAGCGCAAGCGAAGCUCUUGAUCGAAGCCCCGGUAAACGGCGGCCGUAACUAUAACGGUCCUAAGGUAGCGAAAUUCCUUGUCGGGUAAGUUCCGACCUGCACGAAUGGCGUAAUGAUGGCCAGGCUGUCUCCACCCGAGACUCAGUGAAAUUGAACUCGCUGUGAAGAUGCAGUGUACCCGCGGCAAGACGGAAAGACCCCGUGAACCUUUACUAUAGCUUGACACUGAACAUUGAGCCUUGAUGUGUAGGAUAGGUGGGAGGCUUUGAAGUGUGGACGCCAGUCUGCAUGGAGCCGACCUUGAAAUACCACCCUUUAAUGUUUGAUGUUCUAACGUUGACCCGUAAUCCGGGUUGCGGACAGUGUCUGGUGGGUAGUUUGACUGGGGCGGUCUCCUCCUAAAGAGUAACGGAGGAGCACGAAGGUUGGCUAAUCCUGGUCGGACAUCAGGAGGUUAGUGCAAUGGCAUAAGCCAGCUUGACUGCGAGCGUGACGGCGCGAGCAGGUGCGAAAGCAGGUCAUAGUGAUCCGGUGGUUCUGAAUGGAAGGGCCAUCGCUCAACGGAUAAAAGGUACUCCGGGGAUAACAGGCUGAUACCGCCCAAGAGUUCAUAUCGACGGCGGUGUUUGGCACCUCGAUGUCGGCUCAUCACAUCCUGGGGCUGAAGUAGGUCCCAAGGGUAUGGCUGUUCGCCAUUUAAAGUGGUACGCGAGCUGGGUUUAGAACGUCGUGAGACAGUUCGGUCCCUAUCUGCCGUGGGCGCUGGAGAACUGAGGGGGGCUGCUCCUAGUACGAGAGGACCGGAGUGGACGCAUCACUGGUGUUCGGGUUGUCAUGCCAAUGGCACUGCCCGGUAGCUAAAUGCGGAAGAGAUAAGUGCUGAAAGCAUCUAAGCACGAAACUUGCCCCGAGAUGAGUUCUCCCUGACUCCUUGAGAGUCCUGAAGGAACGUUGAAGACGACGACGUUGAUAGGCCGGGUGUGUAAGCGCAGCGAUGCGUUGAGCUAACCGGUACUAAUGAACCGUGAGGCUUAACCU
rnacentral:rRNA from 1 species